rnacentral:rRNA from 1 species
UACGGGGGGGGCAAGCGUUGUUCGGAAUUACUGGGCGUAAAGAGCUCGUAGGCGGUCUGUCGCGUCUGCUGUGAAAAUCCAGGGCUCAACCCUGGACCUGCAGUGGGUACGGGCAGACUAGAGUGCGGUAGGGGAGAUCGGAAUUCCUGGUGUAGCGGUGAAAUGCGCAGAUAUCAGGAGGAACACCGGUGGCGAAGGCGGGUCUCUGGGCCAUAACUGACGCUGAGGAGCGAAAGCUAGGGUAGCAAACGGG